UAAUGUUACAGCUCUUUUAGAAUUUGUCUAGCAGGCUUUCCGGUUCUUGCGGGAAAGUCCCC
ensembl:snRNA RNU7-47P RNA, U7 small nuclear 47 pseudogene